AGAGUUUGAACCUGGCUCAGGAUGAACACUGGCGGCAUGCUUAACAGUUGAAAAUCAGAUGGGAAGUGAUGUUUCCAGUGGUGGAUGAGUGAGUAACGCAUAAGAACCUACCCUUGGGAGGGGAACAAUAGCUAGAAACAACUGCUAAUACCCCAUAAGCUGAGGAGCAAAAGGAGGAAUUCGCCCAAGGAGGGGCUCACAUCUGAUUAGUUUUAUUGGUGAUGGAAAUGGCUUACCAAGGCGAACGAUCAGUAGAUGGUCGCGAGAGGAUGAUCAGCCACACUGGGAUUGAGACAUGACCUACACUCCUAUGGGAGGCAACAGUGGGGAAUUUUCUGCAAUGGGCGAAAGCCUGAUGGAGCAAUGGCGCAUGAAGGCAGAAGGCCCACAGGUCAUGAAAUUCUUCUCUCGGAGAAGAGAAAAUGAUGAUAUCUGAGGAAUAAGCAUCGACUAACUCUGUGCCAGCAGCCGUGGUAAGACAGAGGAUGCAAGUGUUAUCCGGAAUGAUUGGGGCAGUAAGCCGUCUGUAGGUGGCUUUCAAGUCCGCCGUCAAAUCCCAGGGCCAAACCUUGGAUAGGUGGUGGAAACUACCAAGCUCGAGUACGGUAGGCGCAGAGGGAAUUUCUGGUGGAACGAUGAAAUGUGUUGAGAUUGAAAAAAACACCAACGUCGAAAGCACUCUGCUAGGCCGACACUGACACUGAGAGACAAAAGCUAGGGGAGAAAAUGGGAUUAGAUACCCCAGUAUUCCUAGCCGUAAAUGAUGGAUACUAAGUUUUGUGCAUAUAGACCCACGCAGUCUUGUAGCUAACAUGUUAAGUAUCCCACCUGGGGAGUACAUUCGCAAGAAUGAAACUCAAAGAAAUUGACAGGGGCCUGCACAAGCAGUGGAGCAUGUGGUUCAAUUUGAUGCAUAACAGAGAACCUUACUAGGGCUUGACAUGCCAUGAAUCCUCUUGAAAGAGAGGAGUGCCUUUGGGAACACGGACACAGGUGGUGCAUGGAUGUUGUCAGUUCAUGCCGUAAGGUGUUGGGUUUAAGUCCGCAACGAGCGCAACCCUCUGUUUAGUUGCCGCAUUUAUUUGGAACCCUGAACAGACUGGCCGGUGAUACGCCGGAGGAAGUUCGAGGAUGA
rnacentral:rRNA from 1 species